GAUGAACGCUGGCGGCGUGCUUAACACAUGCAAGUCGAACGAUGAAGCCCAGCUUGCUGGGUGGAUUAGUGGCGAACGGGUGAGUAACACGUGAGUAACCUGCCCUUAACUCUGGGAUAAGCCUGGGAAACUGGGUCUAAUACCGGAUAGGAGCGUCCACCGCAUGGUGGGUGUUGGAAAGAUUUAUCGGUUUUGGAUGGACUCGCGGCCUAUCAGCUUGUUGGUGAGGUAAUGGCUCACCAAGGCGACGACGGGUAGCCGGCCUGAGAGGGUGACCGGCCACACUGGGACUGAGACACGGCCCAGACUCCUACGGGAGGCAGCAGUGGGGAAUAUUGCACAAUGGGCGCAAGCCUGAUGCAGCGACGCCGCGUGAGGGAUGACGGCCUUCGGGUUGUAAACCUCUUUCAGUAGGGAAGAAGCGAAAGUGACGGUACCUGCAGAAGAAGCACCGGCUAACUACGUGCCAGCAGCCGCGGUAAUACGUAGGGUGCGAGCGUUAUCCGGAAUUAUUGGGCGUAAAGAACUCGUAGGCGGUUUGUCGCGUCUGUCGUGAAAGUCCGGGGCUUAACCCCGGAUCUGCGGUGGGUACGGGCAGACUAGAGUGCAGUAGGGGAGACUGGAAUUCCUGGUGUAGCGGUGGAAUGCGCAGAUAUCAGGAGGAACACCGAUGGCGAAGGCAGGUCUCUGGGCUGUAACUGACGCUGAGGAGCGAAAGCAUGGGGAGCGAACAGGAUUAGAUACCCUGGUAGUCCAUGCCGUAAACGUUGGGCACUAGGUGUGGGGACCAUUCCACGGUUUCCGCGCCGCAGCUAACGCAUUAAGUGCCCCGCCUGGGGAGUACGGCCGCAAGGCUAAAACUCAAAGGAAUUGACGGGGGCCCGCACAAGCGGCGGAGCAUGCGGAUUAAUUCGAUGCAACGCGAAGAACCUUACCAAGGCUUGACAUGUUCUCGAUCGCCGUAGAGAUACGGUUUCCCCCUUUGGGGCGGGUUCACAGGUGGUGCAUGGUUGUCGUCAGCUCGCGUCGUGAGAUGUUGGGUUAAGUCCCGCAACGAGCGCAACCCUCGUUCCAUGUUGCCAGCACGUAAUGGUGGGGACUCAUGGGAGACUGCCGGGGUCAACUCGGAGGAAGGUGAGGACGACGUCAAAUCAUCAUGCCCCUUAUGUCUUGGGCUUCACGCAUGCUACAAUGGCCGGUACAAUGGGUUGCGAUACUGUGAGGUGGAGCUAAUCCCAAAAAGCCGGUCUCAGUUCGGAUUGGGGUCUGCAACUCGACCCCAUGAAGUCGGAGUCGCUAGUAAUCGCAGAUCAGCAACGCUGCGGUGAAUACGUUCCCGGGCCU
rnacentral:rRNA from 1 species